UACGGGGGGGGCAAGCGUUGUUCGGAAUUACUGGGCGUAAAGGGCUCGUAGGCGGCCAACUAAGUCAGACGUGAAAUCCCUCGGCUUAACCGGGGAACUGCGUCUGAUACUGGAUGGCUUGAGUUUGGGAGAGGGAUGCGGAAUUCCGAGGUGUAGCGGUGAAAUGCGUAGAUAUCGGGAGGAACACCUGUGGCGAAAGCGGCGCACUGGACCAUAACUGACGCUGAGGCGCGAAAGCUAGGGGAGCAAACAGG
rnacentral:rRNA from 1 species